UACGUAGGGUGCGAGCGUUAAUCGGAAUUACUGGGCGUAAAGCGUGCGUAGGCGGUUCGCUAAGUCUGAUGUGAAAGCCCCGGGCUCAACCUGGGAACUGCAUUGGAAACUGACGAGCUUGAGUGUGGCAGAGGGGGGUGGAAUUCCACGUGUAGUAGUGAAAUGCGUAGAGAUGUGGAGGAACACCGAUGGCGAAGGCGGCUUCCUGGACCGACACUGACGCUGAGGCGCGAAAGCUAGGGGAGCAAACGGG
rnacentral:rRNA from 1 species